rnacentral:rRNA from 1 species
AUACGGAGGGUCCGAGCGUUAUCCGGAAUCACUGGGCGUAAAGAGUACGUAGGCGGUUUGGUAAGUCAGGUGUGAAAUCCCGAAGCUCAACUUCGGAACUGCAUCCGAUACUGCCAGACUAGAGUACUGGAGAGGCAGGUGGAAUUCUCGGUGUAGCAGUGAAAUGCGUGGAUAUCGAGAGGAAGACCAAUGGCGAAGGCAGCCUGCUGGACAUUUACUGACGCUGAGGUACGAAGGCUAGGGGAGCGAAAGGGAUUAGAAACCCCAGUAGUCC